rnacentral:rRNA from 1 species
GCCCAAAAUCUAGCCUAUUUAUUCUAAUAACACCACAACCUUUCUGCCCCCUAACAAACCAUUUAAAAAUUCUAGUAUAGGAGAUAAAAAAAAUUGUAAGCGCUUCAGAUAUAGUACCGCAAGGGAACAAUGAAAUAAAAAUGAAAACUUCAAGCUUAACAUAGCAGAGUUUACUCCUCGUACCUUUUGCAUCAUGGUCUAGCUAGUCUAAUUAAGCAAAAAGAAAUUUAAGUUUAACACCCCGAAACUAAGCGAGCUACUUCAAAAUAGCCAUUAUGGGCAAACCCAUCUCUGUCGCAAAAGAGUGGGAAGAUUUUUAAGUAGCGGUGACAAGCCUACCGAGCCUAGAGAUAGCUGGUUGUUCAGGAAAAGAGUCUUAGCUCUACCUUAAGUUUCUAUAUUUUACUUAAAACCCCAAUAAACUUAAGAGCUAUUCAAUUAAGGCACAGCUUAUUUGAAACAGGAUACAACCUAUUAUACUGGGUAAUCUAAAGCUAUUUAAACAAAGUAGGCCUAAAAGCAGCCACCUUAAAAAAGCGUUACAGCUUCAUUUUUCAGCUUAAAAAUAUCUUCAAUUUUUGUUAACCCUUUAUCGCUACUGAACUAUUUUAUAUUAUUAUAAAAGCAAUAAUGCUAGAACUAGUAACAAGAAACUAUUUCUCCUGCGUGCAAGCAUAAACCAAUACGGACAAUCCAUUGGUAUUUAACGUAAAUGUCUUUAUUAUAACAACAUACACUAGAAAAUCUUAUUAUACAAAACGUUAACCUUACACCAGAGCACCCCAGGAAAGAUUAAAAGAGAAAAAAGGAACUCGGCAAAUUUUAGCCUCGCCUGUUUACCAAAAACAUCGCCUCUUGAAAAAUAUAAGAGGUCCAGCCUGCCCAGUGACAAAAUUUAACGGCCGCGGUACCCUAACCGUGCAAAGGUAGCAUAAUCACUUGUUCCUUAAAUAGGGACUAGCAUCAAUGGCACCACGAAGACUGUACUGUCUCUUUUCUCUAAUCAGUGAAACUGAUCUCCCCGUGAAAAAGCGGGAAUAAGUUUAUAAGACGAGAAGACCCCAUGGAGCUUUAAGUAACGUAUUCACCUAGACUUUACUACACCAACUAAACAUUUAUAGCCCUGAUUACUAACCUUAGGUUGGGAGGACCGCGGAGUAUAACCAAACCUCCAUAACAAAAAGGCAACACCUUUAUCCACGAGCUACAACUCUAAGAAUUAAAAUAUUAAUGUCCAAUGACCCGACAAUUCGAUCAAUGAACCAAGUUACCCUGGGGAUAACAGCACAAUCUGCUUAAAGAGCCCAUAUCGACAAGCAGGUUUAUGACCUCGAUGUUGGAUCAGGGUAUCCCAGUGGUGCA